AGUGUCCCGAGCAUAUGCUGCAUCGCCCCCGCCGCUUGGCCUUGCUCAGCACCGGCGCAGCCCACCCCGCCGCCUGACCUCGCCUCGCACCGGAGGCGACCACCACCAUCCUCGCCGCUCCCUCCCCUCCCCUCCCCCAGCCCAAUCUAGAUGUCUAACCUGCCCCCUCCCAUCUCUGAGCAUAGCAUGCUCCGUCGGCGGCGGCGGCAGCGGCAGCGGCGGCUCCUUCUGGCCGGAUUGAGGCGCGGAGACCCAUGCUCCUCUCAUCUGGUUGGAUCGCCUCCUCCGGUAGGAUCUCCUCUCCGAGCUGGAUGUUGAGCACGAUAUCCCUGCUCUAUGGAUCGCCUCCCCUCAUACGGUCACCCCGACGCGGCGACCCUGCAUCCUGAGACCACCAACGCCGCCUCCUUCGACCACGGGAAGGAACCUAGAUGCACGUCAUGGAUGAGGUCGGGGCAACCUCCCCCACAGGCCAGUUUAUAUCAAAUUAAGCUUUCUAUUUUCUUCGAAUCUUUAGUUUUGCAGAUUAGUUUUGUCGAUGACGGCAAGGUGUUUGAUGGAAAUCCAACCUGACUGUACGCUUGCUAUGUAGAUAUUUUAUAUGUCCACAAGGCAUUUGAUGACAAUCCAAACAGGUAUUUGAUUAUUCUCAUAUGACUCUCAAUGUUAUGACUAGAUUAGUUCAUCUAACUAAUCAUGUUCAGGUUUUUUAGGCACUGUAUGUUAUCCCUAACCAAUUGCAGAGGUUGCAGUACAAACAUGUAGGAUACAGAUGCAUUCUAUAGUGUUCUUCAUGAUGGCUGUACUGACAGAUAUGAUUGCCCUUGUCUAAAUACUAAGAUCCAACUUUACAUGCAGUCGUACCCAUGCCAAUUUGUUGGAGCAGAGAUCAUCUGACUUAACUGAGUCUAAGUCAGAGGGAUGUCCAUCCAUGCCGCAUCGGACGACAAUGAAAUCUAGAGAGGCUCUAUGGCUCAGGUCGCCACGAAACCAGUGGCCCAUCCGGCUCCUUGUGACACAAGUGAAGGAAACAACAUGCAAGGUGUACAGAAACAGCGUGGGAUCGACCAGAACGAUACCGCCUGGGCCGGAUGAAGAAGCAACUGAGAUGGAAUUAUGGAAGAAGAGGCUAACACCACACACAUCCAGAUUCCAGGCCUUGGCUGGCGGCUAAUGCCACGAGGCCUCGGAGCCGGACUUGUGCUCCUCCUCUUGGGAAGUCGUCGCCAGUGCGGUGGCCCUGAAGCCGGUUGGACGCGUCUUGUGUGCGCUAGGGCAGUGGCAUCGCAGAGGAUGAAACCAACACUGGUUGAGAGCGGCCUCGAUGGUGUGGUGUAGCUGACCACGACCGUGGGGAUGGGCGUGCCGGACGCGUGAAUGGAAACGGUGAGUCCAUGCCGGACCCUCCUUUGGUGAGCGAACAACGACGACAAGUGUAGGGGAACUCAAGAAAGGAGGGUUUUUUCAGAGCUGGAGCGCCACUUUCCCUCUCCCUUCCAUUGGACUGGGUUGCAUCAUGCUUUUGGGCCGAUCCUGCUCUUUGUUUCCACGGGCUCCACCUGCUGUCGUGGAUGCGCAAAGAAUGGGAUACACACAUCCAACAAAUUUCGCUAGGCGCUUGGUACUACAACUACUACAUCUCGACGACUUUGGACAAUAAAGCGACGAUGCUCUACCUGGGCGUGGUCUAACUCUACCUCGGCCAGGUGUGGUGCCACGAGGAAGCACCCAAGGUACAUGUGCGCGCGCGCAAAUAUAGAUUAACUACAGAUAAGUACUUCGGUCCCAUCAGUCGCCACCAAGUAAAUCAGCAGCAGCCAGUAGUAGAAGAAUUCGGUUUGACAUUUGAUUUAUGCUGGGUAAUUUGAGGUGUGCCUGUCGGUUAUGCCAUUUAUCUUUUUUCUGUCAAGCAAUUGUUUUCUAUUGCUGUGAUAGGCCUGAAUCAGUUUUUGUUUUUUGUAUACACCGAGAUGAAGCUGAAAGUUAUGACGAUCAGAUCAAAUACCAAAAGUUGUAACUCGGAUAUACCAUGAUAUUUUGAAUGGCGUGCUACCUUAAUAGCUUUCAGUGGAGGAGCUUGAGAAAAUGAAGGUAACUAUGAAGCUUCCUCUAUACAUGAUGAAGUGGGCGAAUGCGAAAUACAACAGGAGUUAGAGAAAGGCACACCUUGCACUUAUCGUUUCCUGAGUGCCAAAGAAAGGCUCACUGAAAGUAUCAAAUUUAUUUAAUGUGAGGUAGUGACAAGCUUUAGAGUUCAACCUUUUAGUGGAGUGCUUUUAUGCAUAUAAUCUUAAUAUAAUUCAUAAUUGUAAAUAAUGGGAAGCAAACAGUGGUACAUACAUUGUAUGCAUUGUGAAAGAAAAUAUUUUUAUAAUCGUGCUUGUGUUUAACAAGAAUUGGUAGAAACAAUUAUGUUUUAAUUUUAAUGAAUAUAUAUUACACCUUUUGUAUAAACUAAGUCAUAUUGUCGCACUAUCAUUUUCUUUCCUUUUGUUUGUUGGUUCACCUUUUUUCUCCCGGGCUAUUUUGCUAGUAUAUACUAAUAAACCAGCGAUUGUUCCUGGUCGUCCGUCGUUAGUACUUUUGCAAAACGGUCCCUGUACUUUUGGGUAAUCAACCCGCAAUCCACGAUUAAGUGAACAACGUUUCGCUCAGCACGUUUUACAUAAAAACACCUCAUAUUUUACAUAAUCAGCCCGCAGUCCAUCACUAUCUCUUUCCUCCUGAGUCCGGGCGCUCCAGCCGGUUCCGAGUGAGAUGGGGCCGCUAUGCAGACGACGCCGGGCGCGGCGGCGGCGAUCUCCGGCCAGAUCCGGUCGGGGAGGCGAGGCAGGGGCCAGAUCCUGUUCCGGGGACGGCGUGGAGGCGAUCUACGAGGCACGGGAGGAGGUCAGGCGGCGGGGCUUGAACUCCAGCAGGCCCCCUUUUGAUGGAUGGAGCCGCCCACAUCGCUAGCGACUCCUCGGAGGACGACAGGGCCUCCUCCUCCGCGUCCUCUAUCGGUUCGGCCUCCUGGCGCUCCCGGCCGCACAAGUGGAUUCACCUGCGGGGGCGCCGGCGCCGGCGACCGUUGUCCGCUCGGAGAGGAGAGGGCGGUGAAGCCAACGGCAAGGGCGACGGUGACGACGUGCAAGACCUCGCGCUGCCGCUGAGGAGAUGUCCUUCGCGGCGGUUCUUGCCCAGUACAUGCCUUUGGAAAACCAUGGCCAGUGUUGUUUCCACCGGACCGGGUCCUCUCUCCGCUGUUCUGAUCUAAUGUCGACUGUGUGCCGUUGGCUUUCCAUGCACAAGGUCCUACCGGCGGCAUUGGGCACCACGUGGGAAGCGGAAGGAGGAGCCGCAACUCUCCAUGCAAGCUCGGGUCAAUGUCAUCGCAAGUUCCGUGCUCGACGUUGCUGUUCAAUGUCGCCUCAGCUGAUUUCGCCCGCCGUCCGCCCGAUGCUCCACACUUUGCCGUAACUCAAUCUGCCAGUUCUCCGCUUGAGGUACGUACUGAAGCUAACCUGGCAAGAGGCAGGCAUGGGAGGCAUGAUUGUUGCUGAAGCGGAACUCAUGAAUGUCUCACGUCAUGUGGUUCUGUGCUAUUCUUAAUCUUCUUCUCUGAAGUGUGUAGUUUCAGUUCCACAUCAAAUGUGUUGCGCUUGCAGUGCGUACCAAUGUACAGUUUACCGAUGUGUAUAUAUGCGGAGUCGAUGGAAAACAUUGAAGCCAGUAGUUGUAUACCUAUUUCAAAAAUCAGCAAGUGGUUAGUAACAUUCUACAUCAAGGUAUUACAGAGAGAAAGGAGUAUCUCCUAUUUUAUUUUUGUGGGAUUGGGAGCAAUUUAGAAACUUAUGAAAAUAUAGGAAUCAUUCUCACUUUAAUCUCCAGUCCUCUUGUUUUGCUUCAUUUAUCAUGCAUUAUGCAUGUCAUAUGUUCCCACAAAUGCCUGGCAGAAGCACAACUUUCAUAGGGAACGUAGAAUGGUCACUUUGGUAGCAGGGCAGAUGCACGUUCCCAGUGUAUAUGUAAAAUUAUAUGCAUAUCUAGCCAUAGAAAUACAUGCAUCUGAACUGCAUCGGACAUAGUGUCGGACUGUCAGCCUGAAAUAUUCCUCUUUAUAUCAUUCUCUAUUUCUGUGAAUAUGCAAAUAUAAGUGCCAUGUAUGUGCUUGUGGAACUUUUGCUGUAAAAUUUCACUCUUCUUUACGAAAAGUAGGUUGAAGAAAGUUUUGAUUUUUCUUGGAUAGGUUAUCAUAUGACAGAACGUCUGGGGUGAAAGCUAAGCUACUUCCAAUGGUAAGAAUUGAAAUCUGGAUGAAACCUCCAUUAUUUGUUUUAUAUAUUUUUAGAUACAUGAGAGAACUAAUGAUAUUUUUAGACUGUAGAACAACCCUUUCAAGGAUUCUCUCUCUAUGAGCAUAUAUAUUGCCUCAGCUUAUAUCCAUUGCCGCACGCAUGGGCGUGUCAGUAGCAUUACUUUGAUAACAUGUCUAUAUCACUGUAAUGUUGGACAUAAGUUCUGCUACAUCCAAACAAGCUUAUCUGAUUUCCAAGAAGAGUAAAAAAAAUCUUUAGUAAUUUCCUGGAUUUUGCUUAUAUCACUGUAAUGUUGGACAAUAAGUUCUUAAUACAUUUGGAGCAUCUACUCUCUGGUAAGGAGU